UCGAGAAUCUUUCGCAAUGGGCGAAAGCCUGACGAAGCGACGCCGUGUGUGCGAUGAAGGCCUUUGGGUCGUAAAGCACUUUCGCCUGGGAACAAGAGAAGAUGGCUAACACCCAUCUAAUUUGAGGGUACCAGGUAAAGAAGUACCGGCUAACUACGUGCCAGCAGCUGCGGUAAUACGUAGGGUACAAGCGUUAAUCGGAUUUAUUGGGCGUAAAGGGCGCGUAGACGGGAGGAUAAGUCAGAUGUGAAAUCCCGGGGCUCAACCCCGGAACAGCAUUUGAAACUGUUUUUCUAGAGGAUGGACGGAGAAAACGGAAUUCCACAAGUAGCGGUGAAAUGCGUAGAUAUGUGGAAGAACACCAGUGGCGAAGGCGGUUUUCUAGUUUAUUCCUGACGUUGAGGCGCGAAAGCUAGGGGAGCAAACAG
rnacentral:rRNA from 1 species